AACGAACGCUGGCGGCAGGCCUAACACAUGCAAGUCGAACGCCCCGCAAGGGAGCGGCAGACGGGUGAGUAACACGUGGGAACGUACCCUUCGGUUCGGGAUAACUCAGGGAAACUUGAGCUAAUACCGGAUACGUCCGAGAGGAGAAAGAUUUAUCGCCGAGGGAUCGGCCCGCGUCUGAUUAGCUUGUUGGUGAGGUAACGGCUCACCAAGGCGACGAUCAGUAGCUGGUCUGAGAGGAUGAUCAGCCACAUUGGGACUGAGACACGGCCCAAACUCCUACGGGAGGCAGCAGUGGGGAAUAUUGGACAAUGGGCGCAAGCCUGAUCCAGCCAUGCCGCGUGAGUGAUGAAGGCCCUAGGGUUGUAAAGCUC
rnacentral:rRNA from 1 species